GGCCCGGUGGCAGAAUGGCUAUGUACUUGGCUUUGCAGGCUAAGAAAUGUCGGUUCGAUUCCGACCCGGGCCU
rnacentral:tRNA from 1 species